rnacentral:lncRNA from 1 species
UGGUAAAAUCUUUCUCCAGGAAAAAUCUGUCCUUGGCCCAAUGUGUAAACACUUGCUGAGGAACUUGGAAUAACUUGCAGUGUCUUGCAGUAUUGUGAAACCAGCAACUUGUUCACAAUUCUUCUGAAUUUCUUGGGAAAUUUGAAGUGGAGUACCUGUACCAACAUGAAAUGACACGAAUUUAAGUGACGCUCAACAACGAAAAGCAAAAAGAACCAAAGAGGAAGCAACUGAAACAACAUCUGGAUGUAUUUAAAAAUAUACAAUGCCUCCAAAAUCAGGUGUCAUUAAUGAAAAUUCUGAAGAAAUGCCACCGGACAUAGCCAACGCACCUACGCUGUUGUUAUUCAUUUCCUGCUUUUCACAGAAAACAAUUUUGUUGCAUGGAAGAUCGUGAACUUCAAAGGGCAGAGGGGAAACUGUCCCUUGGCCUCUACCCCUCCAAGGCCCCACUUUUUUGUCAACACUCCUUGGACGCAGCAGAAGUAUGAACAUAAUAUGGUCCUGAAUGAGGCUGAGUCUUUGGGCGCAGAAGACCCGGGUUAAUAAAAAUAGGAAGGUAAGAAAAGAAAAGAAAAAUCAAGACACAUCAUAGGACUAAAUUCCUAUUAUUUAUCCACUCAGGAUUGACCACCCCUUUGGGCCAGAUAGUUGUACCCCCAUGUACCAGGUG